AGCGAACGCUAGCGGCGAGCUUAACACAUGCAAGUCGAGCGGAGGGUUUCGGCCACGAGCGGCGAACGGGUGAGUAACACGUAGGUCAUCUGCCCUUUGGUGGGGAAUAACCCGAGGAAACUCGGGCUAAUACCGCAUACUGCCUUCGGGUCAAAGGCUUCGGCCGCCAGAGGAUGAGCCUGCGUCGCAUUACCUAGUUGGUGGGGUAAUGGCCCACCAAGGGGACGAUGCGUAGCUGGUCUGAGAGGAUGAUCAGCCACACUGGGACUGAGACACGGCCCAGACUCCUACGGGAGGCAGCAGUGGGGAAUAUUGCGCAAUGGGGGAAACCCUGACGCAGCAACGCCGCGUGUGUGAAGAAGGCCUUCGGGUCGUAAGCACUGUUGGGAGGAACGAGCCGCUCGUGGGGAAGUAUCUGCGAGCCCGACGGGUACCUCCUGAGGAAGCACCGGCUAACUCCGUGCCAGCAGCCGCGGUAAA
rnacentral:rRNA from 1 species